AGAGUUUGAUCCUGGCUCAGAUUGAACGCUGGCGGUAUGCCUUACACAUGCAAGUCGAACGGUAGAGGAGCAAUCCUCGAGAGUGGCGAACGGGUGAGUAAUACAUCGGAACGUGCCCAGUCGUGGGGGAUAACGUAGCGAAAGCUACGCUAAUACCGCAUACGACCCGAGGGUGAAAGCGGGGGACUCGCAAGAGCCUCGCGCGAUUGGAGCGGCCGAUGGCAGAUUAGGUAGUUGGUGGGGUAAAGGCCCACCAAGCCUGCGAUCUGUAGCUGGUCUGAGAGGACGACCAGCCACACUGGGACUGAGACACGGCCCAGACUUCUACGGGAGGCAGCAGUGGGGAAUUUUGGACAAUGGGCGAAAGCCUGAUCCAGCCAUACCGCGUGCGGGAAGAAGGCCUUCGGGUUGUAAACCGCUUUUGUCAGGGAAGAAAUACUUCGGGCUAAUACCCUGGGGUGAUGACGGUACCUGAAGAAUAAGCACCGGCCAACUACGUGCCAGCAGCCGCGGUAAUACGUAGGGUGCAAGCGUUAAUCGGAAUUACUGGGCGUAAAGCGUGCGCAGGCGGUUCUAUAAGACAGAUGUGAAAUCCCCGGGCUCAACCUGGGAACUGCAUUUGUGACUGUAGAGCUAGAGUACG
rnacentral:rRNA from 1 species